UAUCUCUGUAGAGUCUGCAUAUCAAUAAGCGGAGGAAAAGAGACUAACUAGGAUUCCCUUAGUAACGGCGAGUGAAGCGGGAAGAGCUCAAAUUUGAAAUCUUCAAGGUUUUACCUUGACGAAUUGUAGUUUAAAGAAGUGUUUUCUGUUGGAGUUUUGGUAAAAGUUCUUUGGAAUAGGACAUCAUAGAGGGUGAGAAUCCCGUAUUUGACCAUUAUUUCCAACUUUGUGAUACACUUUCAAGGAGUCGGAUUGUUUGGGAAUGCAGUCCAAAAUGGGUGGUAAAUUUCAUCUAAAGCUAAAUAUUGGCGAGAGACCGAUAGCGAACAAGUACCGUGAGGGAAAGAUGAAAAGAACUUUGAAAAGAGAGUUAAACAGUACGUGAAAUUGUCAAAAGGGAAGCGUUUGACACCAGUGUUGUUUUCUCGAAAAUCAAUUAAAUGAUGGCUUGAUGCUAGGUUGUUAUGACUUUAUCAGCAUACUGUCUACUUUUUUCCUUAUCUUUUUUAAUGCACUUUUCGUUUAACAAGUCAACAUCAAUUUCUUUUGCUGUAAAAGAGUAAUAGGAAGGUGGCUUCAUCUUCGGUAGAAAGUGUUUAUAGCCUUUGACCUCUGCAGUCGGAGAGAUUGAGGUCUGCAGCGUAGACUCUUCAGGGUUAGAUACAUUUGUGCUAAGUUAUAGCUUUCAUAGACAACUUGUUGACUAUGAUUAGUCAUUGUAGCUUACUCGCUUAUGCUAUUUUACCUACGCUUAGGAUGUUGAGUAGCGACAUACGCAC
rnacentral:rRNA from 1 species